UAGGCUGUGGGCGUGUCAUGCUUCUGACAGCAUGCACUCUCAUACUGGAUAGACUGGCUCUUGGCAAGUUGGACCAAGUCUCUUAAAGUCAGUGGCAGUAACAAAGCCUUCGCUGAGUGGCCUUGACAGACAGUGAGGACAACUGGGACAUAAAGUAAGAAGCUCAGACGCAUUUUAAUUCUCCUGUGUGCGGUGUGACUCAAAUUUGAUGGGUGAAUCUAAGCAGCCAAGCUUGUGCGCGGUAUCAGAGUUUGCCACAAGCUGAAGAAGGGAGGAACAUUUUGAAACAGUCGUGGAAUCAGAAUGGCGGAAGGAAGGACAGAAAGAGCCAUCGGUAUUUUGGUCACUAAUGUCAGCUUUGCAUGGUGCUCAAAUGACCCAGUGUAGAAUCUACAACCUGUCUGGGAUCACCCAGAAAUUUGGAGGAUUCAUAGUUGGAGCUUAUUUAUACAAUGAUUGACUGUUUCCAUGUUUGGUCGACACACAGUAAGAAGAAAAAGCCUACAGGGACUAAUCGGAGCGUUACUCCACUUCUGACAUUGCUUAUCUUGAAGCAGUUCAAGGUGUGCAGCCCUGAAGUGUUGCCAUUUUUGGACAGAACACGUCAACUUGUGUCAUCCAGUUCAGCAAAGGUUCCGUGAACCUAAGUCCUGGAAAAAUAAAGAGCUUGGUGAAGAGUGAAGGUUUAAACAAGCUUAUUUACGGACACAUGGGUGGUAUCUCUCUCCGAUUGGCUGGGCCCAACAUUGACUCGUGCAUUCUUUGACCAGCUGUUGCACUUUGGAUUCUCUGCAGGGCGGGUUUAAAGACUCCGGAACUGGCUCGAGCUAGCAAGCUAUUUUGAGCACCGGCUGCGAGAGUCGACUCGCCUCUGACGAGAGUGUGGAUAGAGGGACAAGGAUAAGGGAAGCCUUUUCAGUGGCCAAUUGUGGGUGUUUCUUUGGCAGUGUCUUAGCUGGUUGUUGUGUGCAAUAAGAAGAAGCAAUCAGCAAGUAUACUGCCGCAGAAAUGCUUCACUGUAUCAGGCCGGACAUAGGCUCUCCCUUGGCUACUCUGCACUUGAUGAAAUUGCACCUUUGAUGUUCUCGAGUAACCUACUUAUUUCUUUAAUCCUUUGCUAUAAUAACAGGCAGCAAAGUGGGAGGGAAAACAACUCCUGAAGGAUAAAUAUUUGAACACAGGAACAAGAAAUAUGAAACAUUUUAAGUGUUAAAUGUUAGGUCAAUGUACUUUUUUUUGAGGUUGGGUUUCUCUUAGUAAUCCAAACGUAUUUGGUUAAUUUUUUGAUGUGCGUUAAAACUGUGGAUGACAGUGCCUCACAAUAAAAGACCCGCUUUCUCUCUU